rnacentral:rRNA from 1 species
CCUACGGGAGGCUGCAGUCGAGAAUCAUUCACAAUGGGGGAAACCCUGAUGGUGCGACGCCGCGUGGGGGAAUGAAGGUCUUCGGAUUGUAAACCCCUGUCAUGUGGGAGCAAAUUAAAAAGAUAGGACCACAAGAGGAAGAGACAGCUAACUCUGUGCCAGCAGCCGCGGUAAUACAGAGGUCUCAAGCGUUGUUCGGAAUCACUGGGCGUAAAGCGUGCGUAGGCUGUUUCGUAAGUCGUGUGUGAAAGGCGCGGGCUCAACCCGCGGACGGCACAUGAUACUGCGAGACUAGAGUAAUGGAGAGGGAAGCGGAAUUCUCGGUGUAGCAGUGAAAUGCGUAGAUAUCGAGAGGAACACUCGUGGCGAAGGCGGGUUCCUGGACCUUAACUGACGCUGAGGCACGAAGGCCAGGGGAGCGAAAGGGAUUAGAUACCCUAGUAGUC